GAUCAAACGCAAUAAGGCACACGGUGGAUGCCUUGGCAUCGAGAGGCGAUGAAGGACGGGUAAGCUGCGAAAAGCCUGGGGGAGCUGCACACGAGCUAUGAUCUCAGGAUGUCCGAAUGGGGCAACCC
rnacentral:rRNA from 1 species